UCCGUAGGUGAACCUGCGGAAGGAUCAUUACCGAGUUAGGGUUUCGUCCGACGAGCCCGACCUCCCAACCCUUUGUCUAUUAUACCUUGUCGUUGCUUCGGCGGACCGGUCGCGACCAACUGGUCGUGACCGCCGGGGGCCCGCCCCUGGAGAGCGUCCGCCGAUGGCCCAACCACAAAACUCUUGUACCAAACCAUGUCGUCUGAAUUACUUGAUUAAAAUCAAAAACAAAACUUUCAACAACGGAUCUCUUGGUUCUGGCAUCGAUGAAGAACGCAGCGAAAUGCGAUAAGUAAUGCGAAUUGCAGAAUUUCCGUGAGUCAUCGAAUCUUUGAACGCACAUUGCGCCCACUGGUAUUCCGGUGGGCAUGCCUGUUCGAGCGUCAUUAUCCUCCCUCAAACCCCCGGGUUUGGUGUUGGACCCAAGUUGUGUGAACAACUGGUCUUAAAGACAAUGACGGCGUCCGUGGGACCCUCGGUGCAACGAGCUUUUAGGAGCACGCGUCGAGUUUCAAGGACCUUCCGGGCCGGUCUCCUUUACUAUUUUACAAGGUUGACCUCGGAUCAGGUAGGAAUACCCGCUGAACUUAAGCAUAUCAAUAAGCGGAGGAAAAGAAACCAACAGGGAUUGCCCCAGUAACGGCG
rnacentral:rRNA from 1 species